UGGGGUAUAGCCAAGUGGUAAGGCAAGCGGUUCUGGUCCGCUCAUUCCUAGGUUCGAAUCCUAGUACCCCAGCCA
rnacentral:tRNA from 1 species